rnacentral:rRNA from 1 species
CAGCAGCCACGGUAAUACGUAGGUGGCAAGCGUUGUCCGGAAUUAUUAGGCGUAAAGGGCUCACAGGCGGUUUCUUAAGUCUGAUGUGAAAGCCCCCGGCUCAACCGGGGAGGGUCAUUGGAAACUGGGAAACUUGAGUGCAGAGGAGGAGAGUGGAAUUUCACGUGUAGCGGUGAAAUGCGUAGAGAUGUGGAGGAACACCAGUGGCGAAGGCGACUCUCUGGUCUGUAACUGACGCUGAGGAGCGAAAGCGUGGGGAGCGAACAGGAUUAGAUACCCGCGUAGUCCCUGUCUCUUAUAC